UACAGAGGGUGCGAGCGUUAAUCGGAAUUACUGGGCGUAAAGGGCGCGUAGGCGGUUAUGUAAGUUAUGUGUGAAAUCCCUGGGCUUAACCUAGGAAUGGCAUAUAAGACUGUGUGACUGGAGUGCAGUAGAGGGUAGUGGAAUUUCCGGUGUAGCGGUGAAAUGCGUAGAUAUCGGAAGGAACACCAGUGGCGAAGGCGACUACCUGGACUGACACUGACGCUGAGGCGCGAGAGCGUGGGUAGCAAACAGG
rnacentral:rRNA from 1 species